CUCCGCCCCCGACAAGAUGGCGCGGCCCCGCUCCCUCAGGGCUCGGCCGCCAUGGCGGCUCCGGAGCUCGGCAGGGGGAAGCCGCCCCGUGUUCGCUGAGGGAACCAGUGCUGGGUCACCCGCACAGCAAAGUUCUUCCUCAUGUUCAGAUAAAAGCUGGAAGAAUUGACCAUGGGAUGUGCACCAUGUGUCCUUCAUGACCACACAGCAGGAGAAAUCAGCAUCAUCAAUCAUCAUCAUCAAUCAUUUGGUGUGCUGACCUUUGAGAUCCAAAAGGAGACACAUUCCCUUUGUUUUCUCCAUCCUGGAGAAAGUCUGGAUUACCUGAGCUCCCCAAAGCUCACUCAGGGAUUUACCUGAACAGCAGCAGUGGAAGAAGGGCAUUGAGAGACACCAAUGCAAGCACUCACAAAGCAGAGAAGAGCCUGGGAUGUGGCUGCCUGCUCUUUCUGCAGAGCUCCUGUGCAAGGUAACACCAUCAGGCUCUGAAAUGCUGCCUGUUCCUCCCUGAGGAGCUGCCUGGCCCAGAACGGGGGAUGCCCCACAAAGGGAGCAGCUAUUCAGAGCUAUCCUCAUCCAUCAGUGCCUGAUUUGUCAUUCCAGCCCUGCUCUGGAACCACAAACUCCUUCCCAGGCCUUUUCCCAUUCCCCUCGUGCUGCAGGAGUCAGUCUGGGCUCCCCAAAACCUGCAUGUCCUCUGCAUCCCUGUAUUUCCAGUGCUCAGAAUCCCCUUUUUUUCUCUAGAAGUGUUUGAAGAGUGAAGUCCUCUGCAUCCCUGUAUUUCCAGUGCUCAGAAUCCCCUUUUCUCUCCUAGAAGUGUUUGAAGAGUGAAGUCCUCUGCAUCCCUGUAUUUCCAGUGCUCAGAAUCCCCUUUUCUCUCCCAGAAGUGUUUCUUUUUUCCCCAAUUAGAUAUAAAAACCCCUGCAGAGAGGACUUCUUCAUCUGGCCAUCCCUCACAGGGCCCUGCUUAUUUAUCCACUGCUGCCUGAGGACUUUUCCUCUUGUCAAAGCAAAGGAAAUUCAUGAAUUCCUUUCCUCCAGCAUGUUCUCAGAAUCACAGAAUGCCCUAAGCUGGAAGGAACCCACAAGGAUCACCCAACUCCAGUUCCUUCUGCUGUCCCCCUCAUCCAUCCCACUUAGGUGACCCCCCCUUCCCAAACUGCUUCAUCUCCUCCCUCCCUCUUUGCUUUUCCCAUCCAAACUUCCCUUCCACUUCCUGCCCCCGCUCCCCAAACCCAAAUAAACGCAGUUCUUGUCCCCUAAGAGAGGCUGAUUCAUGAAGAGAGGCUGAUUCUCCUGGCCAAACUGCCCCAUUCCAGCUGCUGCCAGCAGCACGUGUGUCCCUGUCCCCUGUGCCCCAGCUGGGGCUGGCAGCAGGGAGGGAACCUCCAGAGGUGGAAAUCCUGAAUUUAACAGUUCAACCAGUUCUUCCUCAGUGCUGGGGAAGUGCACACAAGUGAAGGGUUAAAAAACCACCUUGGCUCAGGGUUUGGGUUUGAUCUGGAGCACUGAAGGAGGAAAAAAGGCAAUUCUAGGAGGAGGUGUUUGUCCAGCCACUGGCAGUCACUCCUGCCCCCUCCUUCUGGAAUGUUCUGCCCACCUGGGACCUGGGCUCAGCUGGGCAGUGCCUGGCACUGCUGGGGCUGCUCCAGCUCUGCCUCCUGGGAGCUGCAGGCAGCAGCAGCCAAAGCCCAGCAGAGUUUCUCGUGCACUCUGACACCCGUGAAGGUGGGAAGGACAAACCUGGGGUUUCAGAGAACACAGAACUUUACUCAUGUCCAGUGCACCCACUUGCAUCGCUGCUCCUCGUCCAGGCCUGGCCUGACCUCACAGAAGUGGAGCCAUCUCUGUUUUCCCUGAAUGCACAUCAGCAAAGCAAUCAGAGGGGUUUGGUCACAGAACUUCUCUUCACUGGGCAGGUCUGCACAGCAAAUUAUCUGCACGAGGACAAAAGGACUCAGAGGACAGACAGCUGGAGUUCAAGGUCUCCAACACCCACAGCAGCCAAGCCCAAGAGUUUUGGUAUUUGGACAGUGGAGUCUGGGUUCCAAUCCCUCUCCCAGUAUCCAUUUGGUGGUUUAAUGACAAGCAAACUCCAGCACCAGUCCUGUGCAGGACAAGCAGAUCUUGGAAACAGCAGCAGUGGCACGGGGAGAGCUCAUGGCAGGAGGUGUUUGUUGGGGGAAAUGAGCUUGGCCACUCUCACAGGGAGCUGUGGAGGUGGAAACCCCUUCCUGCUGCUUUCCCCACUCUCAUCAGACUUUAUUUACUGCAGGGCCAGUGGUUUGGAAGCAUUUCUGGUGGACAGAGAGCAAAAGGAGAGUUUAAUGAUGGUCUGUCUGCAAAGGUAACCCAACAAUAACCACAAUCUCAUGGAAAGCUAAAAUAAAUUCUAGAAAACACUUAGAGAAAAAAAAAAAAAAACAAAAAACAAAACCAAACAAGUAUCUGCAGCUGAAACCAGCUCAUCUAUUUUUGGAAAAUUGCAAGGAUUGCCUCGCCCAGGAGGAGUGGAAUUAUGCAACCCCGAGAGGAAAAACUCCCAUAAAUCCCAAAUUCUUUGCAAUUCCCUUUGAUCAGUUCCAGGCUGGGAACCCCCAACCCCCCAAACCGGAGAACCUGCAACACUUUGAGGCCGGAAAAAACCCCACAAACCCCAAAUUCUUUGCAAUUCCUUUUGUUCAGGUCCAAGCUGGGAACCCCAAACUGCAACACCGCGAGGCCGGGCCACGGCGCCGCGCCGGGGCCGCGCCCCGCCAGCACCCAGGGGGAACUACCAGCUGU